rnacentral:tRNA from 1 species
GGGCGAUUAGCUCAGUUGGUAGAGCAACAUGUUUACACCAUGAAGGUCACAGGUUCGAGUCCUGUAUCGCCCA